CCUACGGGUGGCAGCAGUGAGGAAUAUUGGUCAAUGGUCGGGAGACUGAACCAGCCAAGCCGCGUGAGGGAUGAAGGUACAGAGUAUCGUAAACCUCUUUUGUCAGGGAACAAAGGCGUGGACGUGUCCCCUGAUGAGUGUACCUGGAGAAAAAGCAUCGGCUAACUCCGUGCCAGCAGCCGCGGUAAUACGGGGGAUGCGAGCGUUAUCCGGAUUUAUUGGGUUUAAAGGGUGCGCAGGCGGUCUGUUAAGUCAGCGGUCAAAGCCCGGGGCUCAACCCCGGCCCGCCGUUGAAACUGGCAGUCUUGAGUUGGAGAGAAGUAUGCGGAAUGCGCGGUGUAGCGGUGAAAUGCAUAGAUAUCGCGCAGAACUCCGAUUGCGAAGGCAGCAUGCCGGCUCCAAACUGACGCUGAGGCACGAAAGCGUGGGUAUCGAACAGGAUUAGAUACCCUUGUAGUC
rnacentral:rRNA from 1 species